rnacentral:lncRNA from 1 species
UUUUUUUUUCCAGUUUUCUUGGCCCAGAACGCAAAUACUUGUUAGUUCUUCGGUAGGUUCUUUCUUAUGUGGGUCUACUGUCUAUUAAUCUGAGGAAGAACUAUGAUCUAAUUGGUGUUUGCAAGUUCUAUUCCAUUUCAAGAAUUUUUUUUUUUUGUUAUUGUUGAAAUACCUAAUGCUAACGCCCAUGAUCAAUCUUGUUCGAUGGUCUGCAGACAGAAGAUGUAAUUACUUUUGCUCCCUGAUGAUCCUACAUCAGCAACGUAGCUUAAAGUGGAUUUUAGGUGCAACAAGGGUGCUGCCUGCUUUUCCUCUCCUUUACUGUCGAAAAGUUUCUUCAUCUGAAAUCAUAAUGGUAAGGGUUUUUUUCACGAUCUAAAUUAUGAUUGAUGAUUGCCAAAUCGGAUUCCAACAGUUGCUCUUGUUGGAUUGUUAUGUUCUUUUUUACUUGUUUGAAUUGCAACAGAGUUCCCCUAUUUGUCUGACAGUGAACUUUAUUUUUCUGAAAAUAUUAUGCCCAUUUUAUGAU